AUUUUUUUGAUCUUUCGGAGAUCACUAUUCUAUUUUUGUAUUCAAGAAUACGAGGAGUGGUUUGUUUAAGUUAUGUAGUAUAUGUUAUUUUUUCUGUGUAUAAACAAUGUUAUAGCUGUUUUUUGUUCAAGUAUUUCGAUUUCUAUUUGUUCAGGGUUUGUUAUCGUGGUUCAUUUUGGUAUUUUUGGUGCUUUUGCGAUUUCUCUAUUUGUGUUUGUAGUAUUUUCCGCUUUAAAUUUGUGGUCUCCGAAAGAAAUUCGAGUAGUGGAUAGAACGAUAGAAUUCGGACGAAUCAAAAAACUCCCCUGAUGGGAAUAUUUAUUUUUAGAAUCUCGGACCGAACUCCGUCCGCAGGUACACCACCUCGUCCGGGACUUAAUUCUAAUUGUCCAGAUUUCAUCAUUUCGGGAUGCAGGCUGUGGAUUAUUGCAAAGAAAUACGUGGAUUACUGUCUUCAUCUUCCGAGGUUUAGACUUUCAGUUCUGCUCUUCAUUUAAUUUUUUUUUCUGGGGAAUGAGAUGGACAAUUUCUCUCACAAGCAAGGAGCAUCUUCCAUGGUGUUCAUUCUCACCGACUUUGAGGUAUCAAGUUGUCAGAUUUAAUUUUUGUUUCAGUCCUGGUGAAGGUUGGAAUGAAGUAAUUCUGGUUAGGUUCCUUGCAUUCCGAGGCUGAGACUCACUCGGUCUAAGAGUCCUGACCAUUGAAGCUAACACUGUGUUGGACUGACCUUCUCUACAUCAAGACCAUCUUGAGAGCCGGAUUUGCGUGCUGAGUUUGAUUUUUGGUCCGAGUACGAAGGGUGAAAGAAUAUGUGCUGAAAAAUUUCAGUGGUACAAAUAAGCUCUGGGUCCGGAUGCAGCAUAAGGUGAAUUCUAGAUCUCCAUACGGUUGAUCAUUGUGUCUAAAUUGAAACGUUUUCUAGAUUUAAAAUCUUAGUGCUUAGUCGACUUUCAUCUUCUCUUCAAGCUCCAAGGCAGUGUAAGAUAUCCCAAAGAAAGCAAAAUUGUUUCCUGUCUACGUCUCUUGAGAGCCAUCCAGAUGUCCGUUUUGAGUUUGGUUUGGGUCCGAGUACGAAGGGUGGUUGGUGAAAGUGAUUUUCUUCUAUUCUUCGCCUUAAAAUAGACUGCCCUUUUGUAGAGAUGCUAAUUCUGAGAUAGGAUGCUGUGGAAUUUGUGGUGAAAAAUUUGGGUAAGGUGAAUAAGCUCUGGGUUCAGAUGAGGUUAGUUGAGUUUCGGGAACUACAUAUGAUUGAUGACUUGAAGAGCUCCCUCCUGAUUUUCCCGAUGGUGAAGUAUAUGACGAGCUUUUCUGCAUCACAUAGUUGAAGACAGAUGAAUCUGUGAGCUUUUAGAAAUUGUUUUGCUUAACUGUUAGAACACAGAUGGAACGGCGUGCUCUCUCGUCUGUGUUUGAUCCUCUUCACUGCCCUUUUUGUUUUCUGUUCUAGUCUCUGAGAUCGUUACAACUCCUUAUGAUCUCUUAGCAAAACAACAAUGAGUUACUCUAUUUGAUGAUCCAGAACGAGUUUUAGUCGGACCAAAUUUUUCACA